GGCGAACGGGUGAGUAACACGUGAGCAACUGCCCCUGACUCUGGGAUAACCCCGGGAAACCGGAGCUAAUACCGGAUAUGACGCGCUCGGGCAUCCGAUGCGUGUGGAAAGAUUUAUCGGUUGGGGAUGGGCUCGCGGCCUAUCAGCUUGUUGGUGGGGUAACGGCCUACCAAGGCGACGACGGGUAGCCGGCCUGAGAGGGCGACCGGCCACACUGGGACUGAGACACGGCCCAGACUCCUACGGGAGGCAGCAGUGGGGAAUAUUGCGCAAUGGGCGAAAGCCUGACGCAGCGACGCCGCGUGAGGGAUGAAGGCCUUCGGGUUGUAAACCUCUUUCAGCAGGGAAGAAGCGCAAGUGACGGUACCUGCAGAAGAAGCACCGGCUAACUACGUGCCAGCAGCCGCGG
rnacentral:rRNA from 1 species